UACAGGGGGGGCAAGCGUUGUUCGGAAUUACUGGGCGUAAAGGGCUCGUAGGCGGCCAACUAAGUCAGACGUGAAAUCCCCAGGCUCAACCUUGGAACUGCGUCUGAUACUGGAUGGCUUGAAUUCGGGAGAGGGAUGCAGAAUUCCAGGUGUAGCGGUGAAAUGCGUAGAUAUCUGGAGGAAUACCGGUGGCGAAGGCGGCAUCCUGGACCGACAUUGACGCUGAGGAGCGAAAGCUAGGGGAGCAAACGGG
rnacentral:rRNA from 1 species